rnacentral:sRNA from 12 species
GGGAGCAAAUGGCAUCAGGAACUUUGAAACUUUCCUUUGUAUAUUACAUUAAUCUAUAUAAGAAAAUCUCUUUUAAUGAGGAGUGAUGUAGUUACAAACUCUCCAGAGCCAUAAUUAGAGCAAACUAAUUGAAGUUGUGUUUUGACACACUUUCCAAAUUCACGGGUGCCGGAUGACAUAUUCACAACACUGCUGCUGCACAACCAUGGCGACGGCAAAAUCAUUAGGCUAAUAACACUUAUUUGCAUUCUCAUCAUGCCGGCAGCUUUCCCUUAAAUACUGUUCCUACUAUUGCUCCUUUACUGUAAGUUUCCACUGAAAGAUAUUAAUAGUAAUUAUUAGUACUUUAGUGGAAUUUUAACGUUAAAGA